rnacentral:rRNA from 1 species
GAUGAACGCUGGCGGCGUGCCUAAUACAUGCAAGUCGAGCGAACGGACGAGAAGCUUGCUUUUCUGAUGUUAGCGGCGGACGGGUGAGUAACACGUGGAUAACCUACCUAUAAGACUGGGAUAACUUCGGGAAACCGGAGCUAAUACCGGAUAAUAUUUUGAACCGCAUGAUUCAAAAGUGAAAGACGGUCUUGCUGUCACUUAUAGAUGGAUCCGCGCUGCAUUAGCUAGUUGGUAAGGUAACGGCUUACCAAGGCAACGAUGCAUAGCCGACCUGAGAGGGUGAUCGGCCACACUGGAACUGAGACACGGUCCAGACUCCUACGGGAGGCAGCAGUAGGGAAUCUUCCGCAAAGGGCGAAAGCCUGACGGAGCAACGCCGCGUGAGUGAUGAAGGUCUUCGGAUCGUAAAACUCUGUUAUUAGGGAAGAACAUAUGUGUAAGUAACUGUGCACAUCUUGACGGUACCUAAUCAGAAAGCCACGGCUAACUACGUG